UUUUUUUUUUUUUGCCUCAGUAAACAGUACAGAAAAUGAUCUGAGAAUGAAAUUAUUUUGUAAAAGCCCAAAGGAGAAAAAGAGUAACAAGAUAUCAUAGUCUAGCAUCUACAGGCCAAGGUCAAAAACCUGGGUGCAAUGGAUCCCAUCAGCAUGUAAUUACAUAGAUUUAUAUUUUAUAUCCCUUCUGCAGUUAAAAUAUUUCCUCUUAUUUUAAAAUACAUUUCUGUGGUCUGGAGACCAGCAGUCUCUCCCCCACAUCUCUCUUCAUUCUUGCUUGUUUCUUAUCUUAUUCCUUUCUGCCCUUUCUGUAAAGAAAGCAAGUUAUCUUCUCAUGACUAUGUGAUUAAGGGGUAUAUAUAAGGAUGAAUUAUACAUAAAGAUCCAUGUAAUAAUUUAUGUUAAAAUAUUUAAGUUAAACAAUUUCAAUAGAAAAACUUCAUUUCUAUGGAAAGACAGAAUUGGAAAUCAACAGUGUUUUUACAUAUAUACAUACAUGUAUAAAUUCACAGAAAGGGUUUUUAAGUUGACCUAGUGGUCUUUAUGUAUCAUAGUCAUUUUCUAAAGCUGAGAAUCUAUAGUAGAUAAUAGUAUGAAAAUAACAAGUAGUUUGAUUCUAAUAAAAUUGGUAAGAAUGAGGAAGCAACACGAUCCACUACAGAUGUCUAUACAGUCCAAAGAACAGGAACUGGUUGGCCACAGUUCAUAUACUAAUACAUUCUUGGAGAAUACAAAAUUUAAGAAUGAAAACAUUAAGACAUUCUUGCCUUUUAAUUUUAGCUUAUAAAUACCAUGUGCUUAAUCUUAGACCCACUAACACAAAUAUCAUAUGAUAUAGGAAAUCUUCAUUAAUCUACUUUGCAUUAUAGCAAAGAUACCUGUAAAACCCAAGACACUUGUUCCCUAGAAGUUUACUUGCUCCGGUUGGUGCUUGCUACUCAGGAUGUAUCUAGUCCAGAAAGAUCAUCAGAAAUGUAUCACAGGCAAUAUGCUCAGAUUAAGAACUUAAGGCUUUGAAUAGAACCAGAAAACAAAAGCAACAACCCUGUUUCCAAAAGCAGGGACGAGGAAAAGUAAAACAGAAUUGUGAACUCAAAAGAAUUUUUGAUAAAAGUUUUUAGAAGGCAUCAAAGAAUCUUUAACAACCCUGCAGUACUACAAACUUUAUCAUUUUCUUUAUACAUUUAUAACUAGAACAAGUGCUCUUAAAAAAAAAAAUCCUAAUGUGUAUGUGUACAUAUAUGGGGAAAGGGUACAUUUAAAAGGUUAGUUUCUGUAAAAAGUUUAAUAAUUUUUUUAAAAAUUGGGAUAAGUCACCUAGUGAAGAUAAGUACACAAACCUGAUGUCAAAUUAAACUUCAUGGAAAACAAAAUGUGCUUUUUCUAUCCAUUUACUUUGUUAAAGUAAAACUGUUCUUGAUAGGUAUUUAAAAUCCAAGGAAUGAUGCCCCUUCCCAUCUCCCUUCCUUAUACUCUGCAAUUUGAAUUACCGUCUCACAUCUAGAAAGUUAAUAUAAUUCUCUAUAUUCUUGUGGCAAGAGGCCUUCAUAUUAAAUUUUUGGUAUAAAACCAUACCCUGAAGAGUUUUAUUGCUUGCAUACAUGAUGACACUGUGAUGCCAUUAUUACAAAAGUGGCUGGUGCUUUUUCUUAUCAAGCCCCACUUAAAACCAAGAUAAAAGUCUGCACUAUAUUUCGUACUUAACAUGCCAAAUGGUAGGCUUUCAGCAAAAGCAAAAUUUAAGCUUAAAAUAUUGAAAUGUUUUGUGAUGAACAGCAAUUCUGUCAAGGAAGUACUUUGUAAAGUUUGGAGGAAGGGCACUUUAAAGAAAAGAUGACUUGGAAAGCACCAAAUGAGUGAAAAUAAAGAAUUAAGACCCACAGGGAACGUUGGUUUUAAUGGGAAAGCAACCAAUGAUAUUUUUAGGUUCAGUUUGUCAUAACUGCUCAAGUAUCUUGGAAAGGAAAAGGCAUUGAUUAUUCUUAUCAUCAAUCACACUUUGAGGUCCCUUGGUUGAAUUGUUUAAUAAAUGGCUAACAGAAUUCCUUUACCUUUCAUUGAGUAAAAACAUCAGUGAUUCUUUAAUAAGAGAGAAGCAGGUAAGGUUGUUUCACUGCUUCUCUUUGUGUUUAGCUGAAGAAUGUGGGGUGGAAAGUGAAUAUGGUGACCAGAUAACCGGAAAUUCUCUUCUAGUAUUACUGCUUCUCAUUUAAAAAAUUAAAGAUAAUAACUGUGAAAAGCAUGAUAAUAAACAUUAUCUUUACAUGAGUAUUCUUUCAAUGAUCUAAGUUAAGUAACAUUGAUAUUUAUUGAGCCAAAACUUAAGUGUGUUCAUGUUACUUCUGUUUUGGUAGGGAGAGUGUAGUCUUCUUGCUUUUGAAAAUAGUUUUCAAAAAUAAUCUGACUCAUAAAUCUUCCCAUUGGCCCAUACAUUACCACUGUUCUAGCCACACUUUAAAAAGUCCUCUUCCCCUGCUAAUCAUUCUAUAUUUCCAUUGCUUCUCUUUUCUUGAGAUUAAGAAAACCAAAGCAUCGUCUAUAGCUAUAGUUUAAUUUUCCAAAAAACCACUCUGAGUAUAUAUCACACACAUAUCCCGUUGGCCAUUAAAAAAGAGAAGCAAUGUCAAUUUUCUUCUAGUCUUUCCCUGAUUUAAUAGGGCCUAAGAAGACACUUUUAUCUCUUUUUGGCUCCAUGUAUUUGGUUUAAUGUUAAUGAUCAUGGCUGAUAUUCCUUUUAUGGAGGAAGGGAACCUAAUUAUGUCAGCAAUAAUUGGUUCACUUGCUCCUCUGGGGUGGAAAAAAUAAGAUAUUUCAUAAAGUAACAAGGCCUGAACAAAUGUGUGGCAGUCUCAAAUUCUAUUCUACAUCUAAGGUGUAAUCCUUACAUACUAAAGAUAGUGGGGUCGUUCUUGUAGAUUUCUAGCAGACUGGUACAUUAAAAAGUGAGAAUGCUUAGGGUAUGACAAUAUAAAAAAAGGUUUAAUUUGAGAAAAGGAUUAAGUUAAAUAGUAAACAGUGUGAGAUUUUAAUCACGAGUACAACAGAGUGAAGAGCAGCCUUCAUGACAAGGAACCAUGUGACCAGCUCCUGCCCCAAACAUAGGUUAUCACAUAUGGGUUUUGUUUCAUUCGGACAAAGGAAAAGCCCCACACAGUUAUCUUAAGUGCUCAUUAUAUAGAGACCUCAUUUAACCAUGCUCAAUCAUCUUAUGGAAAAGAAAAACAUUACAAUAAAUGUGGUUUCCACAUAUCCUAGUUCUGUAAAAGGUCAGGUGUCUCAUAAAGUUUGGGUUUUGGUGAAAAUUUUUGUACAUGCUGAUGUUAACUACUGUAACAAUUAUAGGAUUGUAAAAGGUAAAAUAACCUGUACAACUUUGACUGUCCCAGUGACCAAAAUGCACUUUAAUCUUAGAAUAAUCAAGACUGAAGCAUUAACUGAACCCUCAUCUUAUAUUAAUAGCACCUUCUAAGAGAGGCACUGUUUUAAAUAGGCACAGAAACAAAAA
ensembl:lncRNA